AUGAGUUAUGCGGAUGAUUAGCUAGUUGGUAGUGUAAUGGACUACCAAGGCUACGAUCAAUAGGGGUACUGAGAGGUUAAACCCCCACACUGGUACUGAGACACGGACCAGAUCUCAUACGGGAGGCAGCAGUAAGGAAUAUUGGACAAUGGUGGCAACACCUGAUCCAGCCAUGCCGCGUGCCAGGAUGAAGGCGCUACGCGUUGUAAACUGCUUUUGUACGGGAGAAAAACCUAUCUACGUGUAGAUAGCUGAUAGUACCGUAAGAAUAAGCAUCGGCUAACUUCGUGCCAGCAGCCGCGGUAAUACGAAGGAUGCAAAGCCGUUAUCCGGAAUUUAUUGGGGUCUAAAAGGGUGCGUAGGCGGACUUAUAAAGUCAGUGGUGAAAUCUCGAUGCUUAACAUCGAACGUGCCAUUGAUACUGUA
rnacentral:rRNA from 1 species